UUCGGUCUGGCGGCGAGUGGCGAACGGGUGAGUAAUGUAUCGGAACGUGCCUAGUAGCGGGGGAUAACUACUCGAAAGAGUGGCUAAUACCGCAUACGCCCUACGGGGGAAAGCAGGGGAUCGUAAGACCUUGCGUUAAUGGAGCGGCCGAUAUCUGAUUAGCUUGUUGGUGAGGUAAAGGCUCACCAAGGCGACGAUCAGUAGCUGGUUUGAGAGAACGACCAGCCACACUGGAACUGAGACACGGUCCAGACUCC
rnacentral:rRNA from 1 species